GAGGGGCUGCGUCAGGAACCAGAGCAACAUCAGUCCAUGUGGCGACCUGAUGCGAUAAAGAAAACUUUUAAUUGGGGGAAAAUAUUAAUACGUAAUUAAAAAUUAUAGGUUGUUGAAUAGAUUAGUUUUACUUUGCUCACCGACUUAUGGUUAUUGCUAAAUGUGAAUAUAAGCACUAUAAACGUCACUUAAGUGUUCGUAUUCCCGGGAGCUUUGCGCCGACGUCAGUUAACGUUCCCGUCUAUACAGCAGCUUGUGCAGCCACCCCCGUAUACCAACUUAAUGCACAAAGCAUACAUGUACCUGCGACUCUGUUGGGCAGCUCUUUGAGCCACAGUGGACGUUGGACACACGACCACAUGCUCAUGUUUGCGACUGGGCUUGGUUUGAUGGAGAUGACAGAUGCUGAAUACGCGCACCUUCAACACCUUAUCCAAGCCAACAUGGAGGCACAACCGGGGCCUCCAGAUGGACCUGAUGUUGAAGCUCACCCUGCUACAGGGAUUUCCCCCUCUCCAGCCACACAUGCUAUUGAUCUGUCAACUUCAACUGAGGAGCACUUUGUGCUGAUGCCUGGCUAUGGAGAAAAGACACCGGUUUCAUACGGAGACGUCCCAGGUUAUGUUCUGGCCAAGAUCAGAGGGGAAGACAGUCCGAUCAUCAUCAGCAGCAGCAGCAGUAGUGCCACCUCACAGAAUCGAUCCAGAACAGCUGUUAGAGUUUGUUUGGAGAAAAGAUUUAACAACAUGUCUGCUGAGAUGCCAAGAACACAGAAUCUUCAGUCAGCAGUUCUCAACAAUUUUUUGAGUAUACUACAGCAGACUGCAGAGUCUCAAGAGGAGGUCACACACUCUCAAAUGCAGAAAUGGAUGAAAAGCGACGGAAUGAAUCCUUUUGAGGUUUCUAGCCCAUAUGUAGGGGACGUGUUUAAUUCAGUCACUAACACGUGUGGUCAAAUGAUUGGCCAUAUUCCUUACAUCAUCGAACCUGAUAAACGCCAGGGUUUCAUCAUUCCCAAGAGUUUUUCACUUCAAUUUCACCCAGAGAGGAUCGUUACAAAAGCCCACUGUAUGGGUAGCUUGAGCCCAGCUGACGAGCAGCACUCAGUGAACAUACAAAGCUCUUGUUUUACAAAGAAGACAUGGCAACAUCUGCUGCCUCCAAGAAGCACGGUCACACUCACAACCUGGCUGAUGCAGGUAGCAGCAUCAGGAAGAGAAUGCAGUCUUGCAUGUCACCUAACCAGCGCAGGGAGAGACAUAACUGUAAGGAGAGGGAACGCCGGAAGAGGAUUCGUCUGUACUGUGAUGAGCUGAACAUGCUGGUGCCAUUCUGUAACUCAGAUACUGACAAAGUGACCACCCUACAGUGGACCACUGCAUACCUCACAUAUGUCAACAAAUCAUAUGGAGACACCCUCAAAGCGGAGUUUCAGAAGACCUUCACAUAUGAAAAGGAAGUCUCUGUCACAGCCAGUACCUCUUCAAGCCAGGAAAACGAGAAGUGUUUGAUCACUUCUCUCGAGGUUGAACAGUGAAGUCACUCAUUAGAGCAUCAGUUAUACUGUGUAUGUGGUUAAAUGGCAGUCUCUCAUUUUCAGAGGACCCCAGCUUCAGAAUACCCUCUAUGAUUUAAGAGGUGGAACGUUUUUAUGGUUUUACUAUGUCAAUUUACAAAUGUGUGUUAAUGGUAAAUGUUCACUUUCAUGGAGUCAUGUACUGUGAGCGCUGUUUCCAUCAGGGAAACAAAAAACUAGUGCUGUAAUCAUUACAUUUCAGCUGAUUGAUGACUUUAGCUAGCUGUAAUAAUAUCAGCCUCAUCUUAAUCUCUGACUGCAGUACAUGAGCACAGUUUAUGCAGCAUUUUGUUCAACUUUUUGUUCAUUAUUUACUAUUAUAUACUAUUUAAGCUUUUAGUCCGAUGUUGCUGUUUUGUAACCUAAUGGAAGUUCUUUAUUACUGGAAAUUACAGACAGUUCGGUUGAUAUGUAGAGAAGAGUAAUGUUUUACUGAAAAGUGGCUUUAUUUGUUCUUUCGUACAACAUGUCGCUGUAGCAUCUUACUGUACAUACAACAGUCACCCACAAAUAAUAAAUAGUAUUUAAAGUCAUGUAUAUUUAAGAGUUACAGCACCGCUAGUACAUAGUGGAUGUGUUUAUUGCAGAUUUAAAAAAAACAUUUUUAUUUUGCUUCAAAGAUCUUUAAAGUAUUUUACAAUGUCUAAUUCAUUCAUCCACAUGUUUUAUUGUGUUUUGAUCCUAGACAAUCAGCUCCACAUGUAAAAGAAAACGCAAGCUGUGAAAAAACAACUAUUGAAAUUUUUAAAUCUUUCGCAUCCAUCUACAGAAUUUGUGAGCACCUGGGUAUUUGUAAUUUAUUCCUUUUACAAUACAUACACAGCUGUUCGAUAGCGACAUUUUGUCUCUGGCACUUAUUUCCAUAUUUUACACUUUAAGCCUGAAUGUUGAGGUAAUAUUUAUGAUUGACACUAGCAGACAUUAUACAUGCACAUCACCUUUAGAGUCAGUAUUUUUUGUUAGCACCAUUUGCCUAAGAGAUGUUAACCAACUUAGAGGGGCAUAAAAACAACAGGUACAGAGUUUUAUACACAUAGGGCUCAUCAAUAAUUAUUUGGUUGUUUUAAAGUCAAGUCUUGUUACUGUCUGUGAUAUUGUUAUUUGGAGCUACUCAGUUGUUCUCCUGCACACCUUGGUGCCUCUGUCCAGUUUACCUCUGGAUGUCAUUGUCAAGUUUUUGUCACUCCAUAGAUGUUCCUCUAUUCCUCUUAAAAUACCACACUUCUUGUUGUUGCUCUUUUCAUCUUGUGACACAUGUAUUUAAAUAAAGAGGACACGUUCACGAUCA